rnacentral:rRNA from 1 species
CCUACGGGCGACAUCAGUGGGGAAUAUUGGGCAAUGGGCGCAAGCCUGACCCAGCAACGCCGCGUGAAGGAAGAAGGCUUUCGGGUUGUAAACUUCUUUUGUCAGGGAAGAGUAGAAGACGGUACCUGACGAAUAAGCCACGGGUAACUAUGUGCCAGCAGCCGCGGUAAUACGGAGGUGGCAAGCGUUGUCCGGAUUCACUGGGUGUAAAGGGCGUGUAGCCGGGUUGACAAGUUAGAUGUGAAAUCCUGCGGCUUAACCGCAGAACUGCAUUUGAAACUGUUGAUCUUGAGUACUGGAGAGGCAGGCGGAAUUCCUAGUGUAGCGGUGAAAUGCGUAGAUAUUAGGAGGAACACCAGUGGCGAAGGCGGUCUGCUGGACAGCAACUGACGGUGAGGCGCGAAAGCGUGGGGAGCAAACAGGAUUAGAUACCCGAGUAGUC